AUACGGAGGAUGCAAGCGUUAUCCGGAUUUAUUGGGUUUAAAGGGUGCGUAGGCUGUUCGACAAGUCAGGGGUGAAAGCCCAGUGCCUAACACUGGAACUGCCUUUGAUACUGCCGAGCUGGAAUACGGAUGCCGUGGGAGGAAUGAGUAGUGUAGCGGUGAAAUGCAUAGAUAUUACUCAGAACACCGAUUGCGAAGGCAUCUCACGAAUCCGUCAUUGACGCUGAGGCACGAAAGCGUGGGGAUCAAACAGGAUUAGAUACCCUGGUAGUCCACGCAGUAAACGAUGAUAACUAACCGUCGGCGAUACACAGUCGGUGGCCAAGCGAAAGCAUUAAGUAUUCCACCUGGGGAGUACGACCGCAAGGUUGAAACUCAAAUGAAUUGGCGGGG
rnacentral:rRNA from 1 species